rnacentral:rRNA from 1 species
UCCUACGGGAGGCAGCAGUGGGGAAUAUUGCACAAUGGGCGGAAGCCUGAUGCAGCGAUGCCGCGUGGAGGAAGAAGGUUUUCGGAUUGUAAACUCCUUUUUUCAGGGACGAUAAUGACGGUACCUGAAGAAAAAGUUCCGGCUAACUACGUGCCAGCAGCCGCGGUAAUACGUAGGGAGCGAGCGUUGUCCGGAAUUACUGGGUGUA